AUUGAACGCUGGCGGCAGGCCUAACACAUGCAAGUCGAACGAGUGGCGGACGGGUGAGUAAUGUCUGGGAAACUGCCCGAUGGAGGGGGCUAACUACUGGAAACUGUAGCUAAUACCGCAUACCAUCGGAUGUGCCCAGAUGGGAUUAGCGAGGAGGUGGGGUAACGGCUCACCUAGGCGACGAUCCCUAGCUGGGCUGAGAGGAUGACCAGGCACACGGGAACUGAGACACGGGCCAGACUCCUACGGGAGGCAGCAGUGGGGAAUAUUGCACAAUGGGCGAAAGCCUGAUGCAGCCAUGCCGCGUGUAUGAAGAAGGCCUGCGGGUUGUAAAGUACUUUAAGCGAGGAGGCGUUACGCGCAGAAGAAGCACCGGCUAACUCCGUGCCAGCAGCCGCGGUAAUUC
rnacentral:rRNA from 1 species